rnacentral:rRNA from 1 species
AUUGAACGCUGGCGGCAUGCCUUACACAUGCAAGUCGAACGGCAGCAUGGGUGCUUGCACCUGAUGGCGAGUAGCGAACGGGUGAGUAAUGCAUCGGAACGUACCCGGAAGUGGGGGAUAACGUAGCGAAAGUUACGCUAAUACCGCAUAUUCUGUGAGCAGGAAAGAGGGGGAUCGCAAGACCUCUCGCUUUCGGAGCGGCCGAUGUCGGAUUAGCUAGUUGGCGGGGUAAAGGCCCACCAAGGCAACGAUCCGUAGCGGGUCUGAGAGGAUGAUCCGCCACACUGGGACUGAGACACGGCCCAGACUCCUACGGGAGGCAGCAGUGGGGAAUUUUGGACAAUGGGGGCAACCCUGAUCCAGCCAUGCCGCGUGAGUGAAGAAGGCCUUCGGGUUGUAAAGCUCUUUCGGCUGGGAAGAAAUCGCAUCUCCUAAUACGGGGUGUGGAUGACGGUACCAGCAUAAGAAGCACCGGCUAACUACGUGCCAGCCGCCGCGGUAA